GUGAUCUGGAAGAAAACAUAAAUUCAUCACUAAUAAAGUUUACAGAUGACGCACAAACUGGAAGAGUGGUAAAUAAUGAAACAGGCAAGUCCCUGAUUCAGAGUUGUGUGGAUCACUUGAGUCAUUGAUUCCCAGGAUAAUGAGCUGAACAUGAAUGCCUAGUAUGACACUAUUGCCAAAAGAGCAAAUGUGAUCCUUGGAUUUAUAAACAGGGGACCGUCAAGUAGCUGUAACUGGUGUCCCCUUCAUAGCAAUCCUUCCGGGAAAUAUGAGCAUUUUUACUCCACUUCCAUUGGUGUUGAUAGAGGAAUGAAAGUGACCGGGACCUGGAAGCAAGCAGUUUUCUUCUCUGUUUAUUAAAAAAAGAAUGGUGGGGCAGGUGGCAGGAAAUUUCAGAUGGGGAUUUUCACACCUCACAGGGCCAUGUUCCUCUUUAAAAACUCUGAAGCCAAAAGAAUAUGGAGUGAAGGCCUGAUCCUGGUAACUCUUGGCUAAACUAGUAGCCUCACGAACAGAUUUAUAGGGUCUUGCCACAGCUUUCCUUUAUCCUGCAAGCAUCCUUCUUAAUAUAGUGGACCAAUUUCCUGCUAACCUUGAACAGAGCUAGAACCAAUCACAGAAAACAAUUAGCUGGUAAGAAGAUUGAUAUUCUGUGGCCUGGCUGCCAUUUGACUGCAGGGUGUCUUUGGCGUUUAGCUUCUCUUACAUACUUCUCAGGCAAAGCUUCUCAUAGUAAUUGCCUCAUCUAUCAAUUACAAUGGCUGCUGUUUUGUCUCAGGGUGCAAUCCUGCAGAUACUGUGGUGAGUAGUUGUGCUGAUUUCCAGGGCUUGGAUUUCUGUUCCAGUCUUUGAAAGGAACAAUGGUGGAAUUCUGGUUUCAAAUAUCUGUACUUAAGGGACCACAGAGUGAAAUAAUGGGUCCAGGGCGCUUGAUAGUCUGGCUCAAUUGGUCCAAUAAGCAGCAGAUGAGAGGUUUUGUUUUCCUGGAUGCCUUCUGAGGUUGAAUCCAGCAACUCUCCAAACGCUCAGGAUCCUUUCAAAGGGAGAGCUAUUAUCUUACUUUUGAGGGUAAGUGAUCCACCUGACAGUGUAAGAUGGAAGCUAGAUGGGUCUGGUUGAAGCACUUGUGAUGUUAACAGAUAAUUUAAGUAAAACAAUCUUUACUUAGGGGGAGGGCUAGCUCAGUAGUUUGGGCA